UACGAAGGGUGCUAGCGUUGUUCGGAAUGACUGGGCGUAAAGGGUGCGUAGGUGGCCAUACACGUCAGAUGUGAAAUCCCUAGGCUUAACCUAGGAAUGGCAUUUGAUACGGUGUGGCUAGAGUAUGGUAGAGGGUAGUGGAAUUGCAAGUGUAGAGGUGAAAUUCGUAGAUAUUUGCAGGAACACCAGUGGCGAAGGCGACUACCUGGGCCAUUACUGACACUGAGGCACGAAAGCGUGGGGAGCAAACAGG
rnacentral:rRNA from 1 species